rnacentral:rRNA from 1 species
UUUCCGGUUGAUCCCGCCGGACCUGACUGCUAUCGGAUUGAUACUAAGCCAUGCGAGUCUUUGUAGUAAUACAAGGCAGACGGCUCAGUAACACGUAGUCAACCUACCCUAUGGACAAGAAUAAUCUCGGGAAACUGGGCAUAAUUCUUGAUAGAUCAUAAUGCCUGGAAUGGUUUAUGGUUAAAAUGAUUCGUCGCCAUAGGAUGGGACUGCGGCCUAUCAGCUUGUUGGUGAGGUAAUGGCCCACCAAGGCGAUUACAGGUACGGGCUCUGAGAGGAGAAGCCCGGAGAUGGGUACUGAGACACGGACCCAGGCCCUAUGGGGCGCAGCAGGCGAGAAAACUUUGCAAUGUGCGAAAGCACGACAAGGUUAAUCCGAGUGAUUUCUGCUAAAGAAAUCUUUUGCCAGUCAUAAAACCACUGGUGAAUAAGGGGUGGGCAAGUUCUGGUGUCAGCCGCCGCGGUAAAACCAGCACCUCAAGUGGUCAGGAUGAUUAUUGGGCCUAAAGCAUCCGUAGCCGGCUUUGUAAGUUUUCGGUUAAAUCCAUGUGCUCAACGCAUGGGCUGCCGAAAAUACUGCAUAGCUAGGGAGUGGGAGAGGUAGACGGUACUCAGUAGGAAGGGGUAAAAUCCUUUGAUCUAUUGAUGACCACCUGUGGCGAAGGCGGUCUACCAGAAUACGUUCGACGGUGAGGGAUGAAAGCUGGGGGAGCAAACCGGAUUAGAUACCCGGGUAGUCCCAGCUGUAAACGAUGCAGACUCGAUGAUGCAUUGGCAUAAUAGCCAGUGCAGUGUCGCAGGGAAGCCGUUAAGUCUGCCGCCUGGGAAGUACGUACGCAAGUAUGAAACUUAAAGGAAUUGGCGGGGGAGCACCACAAGGGGUGAAGCCUGCGGUUCAAUUGGAGUCAACGCCGGGA